AUGGCUGUGCUGUACCGUUCACCUUCACUGCAGAGCAGCGAGCUCCUGGCGAUGUACGGACGAGAAGCGGACCCUUACAGGGGAAGAGACCGGGGCCCUGGCUAUGAGGAGUAUGAUGUGGAUUCAGAGGGCAGCGAGGAGGGGAGAGACGACAUGCGGAGCGCUCUCUCUCUGGAGGAAGGAUACGGCGUGGAGAGAGGGGAGCGCUCAGGCCUGGGACGCGUCUACUUCUCCAACCAGGACUACUACCAGAGGCUGGAGCAGCUGCAGAGAACCCACCUGAGGAACAUGGCUGAGCUGGAGAAGAUGUAUAUCUGUAAAAGGUCAAAGGUCAACAAGAAGGACGAUGAGGAGGAGUAUGAGGAGGACAAGUGUUUGGAGAGAGAGAGCAGAGGCAUACAGGAUCUCCAACCCAGUGGCACGUGGGAAAGCCAGAGCUCUGGCUCUAUGCCAGUGAGGCGACUGCAGAGAAUCCUUUCAGACGAGGAGCUGAACUUCCACGAGGAGACGUCCGGCGACGUGUCUGACCAAUCAGGAGACGGUGUUGGUGGAGACGGAGAAGAGGAGGAUAACCAUUAUGAACUGCUGCUGGAAGAGAGAGAAGGUCAGUGGGGGAAAAGAGCCAGAAACAGCAUGUCAUGAAUAGGCCACCUGUUAUAAUACAAUAUGCUAAUCUUCUCCUACAGAUGUCAAUAUGUUAGUAAAUAAUUCUGCAAAAAGUUCUAAAUGGAAAUACAGUAAGUCUCAAUACAAAACCCAACACCAAACAGGCUACCUAAAUAUGGUUCCCAAUCAGAGACAAUGACUAACACCUGCCUCUGAUUGAGAACCAUAUCAGGCCGAACAUAGAACUAGACAAACUAGACAUGUAACAUAGAAUGCCCACUCAGAUCACACCCUGACCAACCAAAACAUAGAAACAUACAAAGCAAACUAUGGUCAGGGUGUGACAGUCUGUGUAUAAACAAUGCCUUCAGAAAGCAUUCAGAUCCCUUGACUCAUUCCAUGUUUUGCUGUUACAGCCUGAAUUCAUAAUUUAUUCAAUACAUGUUUUUCUUCACCCAUCUACACACAAUACCCCAUAAUGACAAAGUGAAAACAUGUUUUUAUUUAAAAAUAAAUAAAUUUAUUGGAAAUUAAAUACAGAAAUACAGUAUCUAAUUUACAAAAGUAUUGACACCCCUGAGUCAAUACAUGUCAGAAUCCCCUUUGCCAGCGGUCACACCAGU
rnacentral:lncRNA from 1 species